rnacentral:rRNA from 1 species
UGUGACCUCAAAUCAGGUAGGACUACCCGCUGAACUUAAGCAUAUCAAUAAGCGGAGGAAAAGAAACUAACAAGGAUUCCCCUAGUAACUGCGAGUGAAGCGGGAAAAGCUCAAAUUUAAAAUCUGGCGGUCUUUUGGCUGUCCGAGUUGUAAUCUAGAGAAGUGUUAUCCUGCGCUGGACCAUGUAAAAGUCUCCUGGAAUGGAGCAUCAUAGAGGGUGAGAAUCCCGUCUUUGACAUGGGCUGCCAGGGCUUUUGUGAUGCGCUCUCAAAGAGUCGAGUUGUUUGGGAAUGCAGCUCAAAAUGGGUGGUAAAUUCCAUCUAAAGCUAAAUAUUGGCGAGAGACCGAUAGCGAACAAGUACCGUGAGGGAAAGAUGAAAAGAACUUUGGAAAGAGAGUUAAACAGUACGUGAAAUUGCUGAAAGGGAAACGCUUGAAGUCAGUCACGUCAACCAGGGAUCAACCCUGCUUUUGCUUGGUGCACUUUCUGGUUUGACGGGUCAGCAUCAUUUUUGACCAUUGGAAAAAGAUGAAGGGAAUGUGGCAUCCUCGGAUGUGUUUAUAGCCCUUGGUCAUAUACAGUGGUUGGGAUUGAGGAACUCAGCACGCUGCAAGGCUGUGCUUAGGAUGCUGAUAUAAUGGCUUUAAUCGACCCGUCUUGAAACACGGACCAAGGAGUCUAACAUGCCUGCGAGUGUUUGGGUGGAAAACCCGAGCGCGUAAUGAAAGUGAAAAGGUUGAGAUCCCUGUCAUGGGGAGCAUCGACGCCCGGACCAGACCUUUUGUGACGGUUCUGCGGUAGAGCAUGUAUGUUGGGACCCGAAAGAUGGUGAACUAUGCCUGAAUAGGGUGAAGCCAGAGGAAACUCUGGUGGAGGCUCGUAGCGAUUCUGACGUGCAAAUCGAUCGUCAAAUUUGGGUAUAGGGGCGAAAGACUAAUCG